GAAACCCCAGGGGCGACACCCACCAUUCCAAACCCUAGUUCACAAGAAAUCCUGCAAAUUGAAGGCCUUAAUCAGUUAGAAAUCGAAAUCCAAGCAUAGAAUCGUGAUCACCUCGUCAAAGGGAUCCUAAGGCAAGGAAUCCGGGACGUCGAGCGGACACGCCGGAGGAGAUACACGCGGAAAAGGAGUGCUUUAAAGGUAUGGAUGAGUUUCCCUCGGAUGGUGAUCAAGCAUGUUGUCAAGAACCGAACACGCGUUUUGAAGCUUCCGCACUAAAUAUAACCAUGUCUAGAACUUUAUUAUG